rnacentral:rRNA from 1 species
CGUAGUUGAACCUUGGGUCUGGCUGGCCGGUCCGCCUCACCGCGAGUACUGGUCCGGCUGGACCUUUCCUUCUGGGGAACCUCAUGGCCUUCACUGGCUGUGGGGGGAACCAGGACUUUUACUGUGAAAAAAUUAGAGUGUUCAAAGCAGGCCUUUGCUCGAAUACAUUAGCAUGGAAUAAUAGAAUAGGACGUGCGGUUCUAUUUUGUUGGUUUCUAGGACCGCCGUAAUGAUUAAUAGGGAUAGUCGGGGGCGUCAGUAUUCAGCUGUCAGAGGUGAAAUUCUUGGAUUUGCUGAAGACUAACUACUGCGAAAGCAUUCGCCAAGGAUGUUUUCAUUAAUCAGGGAACGAAAGUUAGGGGAUCGAAGACGAUCAGAUACCGUCGUAGUCUUAACCAUAAACUAUGCCGACUAGGGAUCGGGCGGUGUUUCUAUGAUGACCCGCUCGGCACCUUACGAGAAAUCAAAGUUUUUGGGUUCUGGGGGGAGUAUGGUCGCAAGGCUGAAACUUAAAGAAAUUGACGGAAGGGCACCACAAGGCGUGGAGCCUGCGGCUUA